ACUACCCCUAGAGGUUUUGCAUGACUGGCUUCUGUGUCACCUGUGCCUCAGGAGGUGGCAGAGAGGACAGAGGCUAUAUCUAAGCUCAGUGUUCUGACCUGCAAAUGUCUGAAUGAUUAGUAGCCUAACGUU